AUCGAACGCUGGCGGCGUGCUUAACACAUGCAAGUCGAACGAAGUGGCGAACGGGUGAGUAACGCGUAAUCAACCUGCUCUUCAGCGGGGGACAACAGUAGGACACGACUGCUAAUACCGCAUACUGAAGGAGGGGAUUGCGUCUGAUUGGCUAGUUGGAGGGGUAACGGCCCACCAAGGCGAUGAUCAGUAGGCGGUCUGGGAGGAUGAACGGCCCCAUUGGGACUGAGACACGGCCCAGACUCCUACGGGAGGCAGCCGUGGGGAAUCUUCCGCAAUGGACGAAAGUCUGGCGGGGCAACGCCGCGGGAGUUAUGACGGCCUUCGGGUUGUAAAGCUCUGUUAAUCGGGACGCGGUACCGGAAUAGAAAGCCACGGCUAACUACGUGCCAGCAGCCGCGGUAAUUC
rnacentral:rRNA from 1 species